rnacentral:rRNA from 1 species
GACGAACGCUGGCGGCGUGCCUAAUACAUGCAAGUUGAGCGAUGAAGAUUGGUGCUUGCACCAAUUUGAAGAGCAGCGAACGGGUGAGUAACGCGUGGGGAAUCUGCCUUUGAGCGGGGGACAACAUUUGGAAACGAAUGCUAAUACCGCAUAACAACUUUAAACAUAAGUUUUAAGUUUGAAGGAUGCAAUUGCAUCACUCAAAGAUGAUCCCGCGUUGUAUUAGCUAGUUGGUGAGGUAAAGGCUCACCAAGGCGAUGAUACAUAGCCGACCUGAGAGGGUGAUCGGCCACAUUGGGACUGAGACACGGCCCAAACUCCUACGGGAGGCAGCAGUAGGGAAUCUUCGGCAAUGGACGAAAGUCUGACCGAGCAACGCCGCGUGAGUGAAGAAGGGUUUCGGAUCGUAAAACUCUGUUGGUAGAGAAGAACGUUGGUGAGAGUGGAAAGCUCAUCAAGUGACGGUAACUACACAGAAAGGGACGGCUAACUACGUG